GUGCUUGCGUUGGCAGCACAUAUACUAAAAUUGGAACGAGAAGAGAAGCAUGGCUCCUGUGCAAGGAUGACACGCAAAUUCGUGAAGCGUUCCAUAUUUUU
rnacentral:snRNA from 1 species